UGCAGUCGAACGAUGAAGCCCAGCUUGCUGGGUGGAUUAGUGGCGAACGGGUGAGUAACACGUGAGUAACCUGCCCUUAACUCUGGGAUAAGCCUGGGAAACUGGGUCUAAUACCGGAUAGGAGCGCCUACCGCAUGGUGGGUGUUGGAAAGAUUUAUCGGUUUUGGAUGGACUCGCGGCCUAUCAGCUUGUUGGUGAGGUAAUGGCUCACCAAGGCGACGACGGGUAGCCGGCCUGAGAGGGUGACCGGCCACACUGGGACUGAGACACGGCCCAGACUCCUACGGGAGGCAGCAGUGGGGAAUAUUGCACAAUGGGCGAAAGCCUGAUGCAGCGACGCCGCGUGAGGGAUGACGGCCUUCGGGUUGUAAACCUCUUUCAGUAGGGAAGAAGCGAAAGUGACGGUACCUGCAGAAGAAGCACCGGCUAACUACGUGCCAGCAGCCGCGGUAAUACGUAGGGUGCGAGCGUUAUCCGGAAUUAUUGGGCGUAAAGAGCUCGUAGGCGGUUUGUCGCGUCUGUCGUGAAAGUCCGGGGCUUAACCCCGGAUCUGCGGUGGGUACGGGCAGACUAGAGUGCAGUAGGGGAGACUGGAAUUCCUGGUGUAGCGGUGGAAUGCGCAGAUAUCAGGAGGAACACCGAUGGCGAAGGCAGGUCUCUGGGCUGUAACUGACGCUGAGGAGCGAAAGCAUGGGGAGCGAACAGGAUUAGAUACCCUGGUAGUCCAUGCCGUAAACGUUGGGCACUAGGUGUGGGGACCAUUCCACGGUUUCCGCGCCGCAGCUAACGCAUUAAGUGCCCCGCCUGGGGAGUACGGCCGCAAGGCUAAAACUCAAAGGAAUUGACGGGGGCCCGCACAAGCGGCGGAGCAUGCGGAUUAAUUCGAUGCAACGCGAAGAACCUUACCAAGGCUUGACAUGUUCUCGAUCGCCGUAGAGAUACGGUUUCCCCUUUGGGGCGGGUUCACAGGUGGUGCAUGGUUGUCGUCAGCUCGUGUCGUGAGAUGUUGGGUUAAGUCCCGCAACGAGCGCAACCCUCGUUCCAUGUUGCCAGCACGUAAUGG
rnacentral:rRNA from 1 species